rnacentral:rRNA from 1 species
CGCAUCUGUGCAUGCAGCAUAUCAAUAAGCGGAGGAAAAGAAACUAACAAGGAUUCCCCUAGUAACGGCGAGUGAAGCGGGAAGAGCUCAAAUUUGAAAUCUUAAAGGGUUUCCCUUUACGAAUUGUAGUUUAGAGAAGUGUUUUCUGUUGAGGUUUUGGUAAAGGUUCUUUGGAAUAGGACAUCAUAGAGGGUGAGAAUCCCGUAUUUGACCUUUACUUUCAACUUUGUGAUACACUUUCAAAGAGUCGGAUUGUUUGGGAAUGCAGUCCAAAAUGGGUGGUAAAUUUCAUCUAAAGCUAAAUAUUGGCGAGAGACCGAUAGCGAACAAGUACCGUGAGGGAAAGAUGAAAAGAACUUUGAAAAGAGAGUUAAACAGUACGUGAAAUUGUCAAAAGGGAAGCGUUUGACACCAGUGUUGUUUUUCUGAAAAUCAAUUAAAGAACUGUUUAUGCUAAGCUGUUUAGACUUUAUCAGCUAUCUGUUUAGUUUUGAGCUUUUCUUUAAUGCACUUUUCAGUUAACAAGUCAACAUCAAUUUCUUUUGCUGUAAAAAAGCUUGAGGAAGGUGGCUUGAGAUUCGUCUUAAGUGUUUAUAGCCUCUUGCCUAUGCAGUCGGAGAGAUUGAGGUCUGCAGCGUAGAUCCUUCGGGGCUAAAUGCAUUUGUGCUAAGUUAUAGCAUUUUAUAGACAACUUGUUGACUAUGAUUUGUCUUGUAGCUUACUCGCUUAUGUUAUUUUACCUACGCUUAGGAUGUUGAAUCUGUGCGAGACUAC